rnacentral:tRNA from 1 species
ACUUAUUUAGUAUAAAAGUAUAUUUGACUUCCAAUCAAAAGGAUUGAUUAUUAAUGUCAAAAUAAGUA